rnacentral:tRNA from 1 species
CGGGCUUUGGCGCAGUUGGUAGCGUGCCUGCUUUGGGAGCAGGAGGUCGCAGGUUCAAGUCCUGCAAGCCCGACGA